AAGCCCUUACUCACAUGAGCAGUCCCACAUAAGUCCUCAAGGUGAGUAAGGGCUGCG
rnacentral:pre_miRNA from 1 species